GGUCUCCGUUGGUGAACCAGCGGAG
rnacentral:rRNA from 1 species